rnacentral:rRNA from 2 species
CCUGGCUCAGGAUGAACGCCGGCGGUGUGCCUAAUACAUGCAAGUCGAACGCGUUGGCCCAAUUGAUUGAYGGUGCUUGCACCUGAUUGAUUUUGGUCGCCAACGAGUGGCGGACGGGUGAGUAACACGUAGGUAACCUGCCCAGAAGCGGGGGACAACAUUUGGAAACAGAUGCUAAUACCGCAUAACARCGUUGUUCGCAUGAACAACGCUUAAAAGAUGGCUUCUCGCUAUCACUUCUGGAUGGACCUGCGGUGCAUUAGCUUGUUGGUGGGGUAACGGCCUACCAAGGCGAUGAUGCAUAGCCGAGUUGAGAGACUGAUCGGCCACAAUGGGACUGAGACACGGCCCAUACUCCUACGGGAGGCAGCAGUAGGGAAUCUUCCACAAUGGGCGCAAGCCUGAUGGAGCAACACCGCGUGAGUGAAGAAGGGUUUCGGCUCGUAAAGCUCUGUUGUUAAAGAAGAACACGUAUGAGAGUAACUGUUCAUACGUUGACGGUAUUUAACCAGAAAGUCACGGCUAACUACGUGCCAGCAGCCGCGGUAAUACGUAGGUGGCAAGCGUUAUCCGGAUUUAUUGGGCGUAAAGAGAGUGCAGGCGGUUUUCUAAGUCUGAUGUGAAAGCCUUCGGCUUAACCGGAGAAGUGCAUCGGAAACUGGAUAACUUGAGUGCAGAAGAGGGUAGUGGAACUCCAUGUGUAGCGGUGGAAUGCGUAGAUAUAUGGAAGAACACCAGUGGCGAAGGCGGCUACCUGGUCUGCAACUGACGCUGAGACUCGAAAGCAUGGGUAGCGAACAGGAUUAGAUACCCUGGUAGUCCAUGCCGUAAACGAUGAGUGCUAGGUGUUGGAGGGUUUCCGCCCUUCAGUGCCGGAGCUAACGCAUUAAGCACUCCGCCUGGGGAGUACGACCGCAAGGUUGAAACUCAAAGGAAUUGACGGGGGCCCGCACAAGCGGUGGAGCAUGUGGUUUAAUUCGAAGCUACGCGAAGAACCUUACCAGGUCUUGACAUCUUGCGCCAACCCUAGAGAUAGGGCGUUUCCUUCGGGAACGCAAUGACAGGUGGUGCAUGGUCGUCGUCAGCUCGUGUCGUGAGAUGUUGGGUUAAGUCCCGCAACGAGCGCAACCCUUGUUACUAGUUGCCAGCAUUAAGUUGGGCACUCUAGUGAGACUGCCGGUGACAAACCGGAGGAAGGUGGGGACGACGUCAGAUCAUCAUGCCCCUUAUGACCUGGGCUACACACGUGCUACAAUGGACGGUACAACGAGUCGCGAACUCGCGAGGGCAAGCAAAUCUCUUAAAACCGUUCUCAGUUCGGACUGCAGGCUGCAACUCGCCUGCACGAAGUCGGAAUCGCUAGUAAUCGCGGAUCAGCAUGCCGCGGUGAAUACGUUCCCGGGCCUUGUACACACCGCCCGUCACACCAUGAGAGUUUGUAACACCCAAAGUCGGUGGGGUAACCUUUUAGGAGCCAGCCGCCUAAGGUGGGACAGAUGAUUAGGGUGAAGUCGUAACAAGGUAACC